rnacentral:rRNA from 1 species
GACGAACGCUGGCGGCGUGCUUAACACAUGCAAGUCGAACGGGAGUAUUGAAGAAGCUUGCUUUAGAGAUACUUUAGUGGCGGACGGGUGAGUAACGCGUGAGGAGCUGUCCAAUGCAGGGGGACAACAGUUGGAAACGACUGCUAAUACCCCAUAAGCCGAGAGGUAAAAGGAUUUAUCCGGCAAUGGAGGUACUCGCGUCCUAUCAGCUAGUAGGUGAGGUAACGGCUCACCUAGGCGAAGACGGGUAGCCGGCCUGAGAGGGCGAACGGCCACACUGGAACUGAGAUACGGUCCAGACUCCUACGGGAGGCAGCAGUGGGGAAUAUUGGGCAAUGGGGGGAACCCUGACCCAGCGACGCCGCGUGGGUGAAGAAAUCCUUCGGGAUGUAAAGCCCUGUUGUAUGGGAAGAGCGGAAGACGGUACCAUACGAGGAAGCCCCGGCAAACUACGUGCCAGCAGCCGCGGUAA